AUUGAACGCUGGCGGCAUGCCUUACACAUGCAAGUCGAACGGUAACAGGUCUUCGGAUGCUGACGAGUGGCGAACGGGUGAGUAAUACAUCGGAACGUGCCUAGUAGUGGGGGAUAACUACUCGAAAGAGUGGCUAAUACCGCAUGAGAUCUACGGAUGAAAGCAGGGGAUCGCAAGACCUUGUGCUACUAGAGCGGCCGAUGGCAGAUUAGGUAGUUGGUGGGAUAAAAGCUUACCAAGCCGACGAUCUGUAGCUGGUCUGAGAGGACGAUCAGCCACACUGGGACUGAGACACGGCCCAGACUCCUACGGGAGGCAGCAGUGGGGAAUUUUGGACAAUGGGCGCAAGCCUGAUCCAGCAAUGCCGCGUGCAGGAUGAAGGCCUUCGGGUUGUAAACUGCUUUUGUACGGAACGAAAAGCCCCGGGUUAAUUCCCUGGGGUCAUGACAGUACCGUAAGAAUAAGCACCGGCUAACUACGUGCCAGCCGCCGCCGUAA
rnacentral:rRNA from 1 species